CAAUAGCGUAUGUUAAAGUUGUUGCAGUUAAAAAGCUCGUAGUUGGAUUUCGGGGCAGCCUGGCUGGUCCGCCGCAAGGCGAGUACUGGUCAGCCGCCCUUCCUCUCGAAAGCCCCGACUGCUCUUCGUUGCAGUGGUCGGGUAGUUCGGGACGUUUACUUUGAAAAAAUUAGAGUGUUCAAGGCAGGCCUACGCCUGAAUACAUUAGCAUGGAAUAAUGGAAGAGGACCUCGGUCCUAUUUUGUUGGUUUCCAGGGCCGAAGUAAUGAUUAAGAGGGACAGUUGGGGGCAUUCGUAUUUAAUUGUCAGAGGUGAAAUUCUCGGAUUUAUGAAAGACGAACAACUGCGAAAGCAUUUGCCAAGGAUGUUUUCAUUAA
rnacentral:rRNA from 1 species